rnacentral:rRNA from 1 species
GUUUCCUAAAAAAUUACCAAAUGGUACCAUUAUUGACUCUAAGCUUAGCUUUUGUGCAGAUGCAAGAGCAUAGUUGCCACUACUUCCAUCUCGACAUAUCUGUGCGCUCUUGCCCUAUUGUAGUGUAGCCUGAGUUUGGUUACCAAUACAAACUCGGUACAAGAGGCAGGAGGAGGAGACACCCGUUGGCUGGAAUAUGGAGGCGGCUGUGGUAAGUAGCGUCGUAGGCGCUGUGGUAACCAAGCUCCACAAGAUGAUUGAAGACGACAGCAUGCUGCGGGUCGAUCUUAAGAAAUCCCUCCACGACAUCAAGAAGGAGAUGCAGAUGAUGACCAAGGCCAUCGUCAUGUACGGUGAGUCCAAGGACCACUGGCCAUGGAUCCUCGAGCUGCAGGAGCUGGCGUACGACACGGAGGACUGCCUAGAUAUCUUCGAGGAGAAGGCGGCAUGCGAGGCCGGCGUGCCAUGGUACCGCCGGAAGCUUCACCAGUUAAGAACGGUGAACAUCCGCACUCAGUUUGCCAGAGAGCUCAAGGUUCUCAAGCAACGCGUUCUGGAAGCAUUUGGGCGGAGAGACAGGUACAUCGGCAGCAACACCCUAUCUGCACCGGUGGAGCUGGGCGCCUCCUCAAAAUUCACCUCCUACACCCCGGAGUCUGAGCUCGUGGGCAUCACCAAGCCAAAAGCAGAGCUUCUUGAAUUGCUUGGGGAGGAAGAGAAACCAAGGAGGGUGGUCUCCAUCUUGGGACCUCGCGGCAUCGGGAAGACAACUCUUGCUAGGGUGGUCUAUGAUGACACUUGUGUGAAGAGCCAAUUUCCUUGCCGUGCUUGGGUUGUGGCCUCGCAGCACAGAGGAGACAAAGAGAUUCUGAAGGAGAUACUCCGACAAGUCAAGGUCUCCUCCUCUUCUGAUGCGGAUCUCGGUGAAGAUCUCAAUAUGCACCUGCAGACUAAUACGAGGUACUUAAUUGUAAUUGAUGACAUGCAGACUUCUCUACUGGAUACGAUCGGGUCUUACUUCUCCAGUAAUGGCAGAAUCAUUGUGACCACAAAUAUGCAGUCCAUAGCCAAUAGCUGCAGCACGAAUGGGGGUUAUAUAUACAGAAUGGAAGCUCUUAACAAAGAAGAUUCUAAAGCUUUGCUUUUAAAAAUUGUUCUUGGUGAUGUGACAAAAUCUCCUUCACCUCAUUUUGAGGAAGGUUCAGAAAGCAUCUUGAAGAAAUGUGAAGGCUUACCACUUGGCAUAGUAAACAUUGCAAAUUAUUUGAAAGAACAAGGGCCAGAAAAGAUCACAGUCGCUAGUUGCAAAAAUAUGUGCAGAAAUCUAGGUUCUCGUAUGCAUAGUAAUGAUGCUCUUGCAAGAAUGAAGAAAGUGCUCAUCCAUAGCUAUGACAAUCUUCCUAGCCAUGAUCUAAAAACCUGCUUGCUUUCCGUAAGCAUAUACCCGAAGGAUCAGCCAAUCAAAAGAAAAAGCCUAGUUAGAAGAUGGUUAGCCGAAGGAUUUGCGGUCAAAGUUGUCAGUUGCAAAGACAACGAUGUUGCUUGUGAACAUUUUGAGGGCUUGAUCAACAGGAGUAUCAUUCAACCAGUAGACAUUUGCAACAGUGUUGGUGUGAAGACGUGUCGCCUUCAUGGUAUAAUGCUUGAUUUCAUAGUACACAAGUCAGCCUGUGAGAAUUUCAUUACUCUGAUUCACAAUGAUGAAAUCAUAACCAAUAAAAGUUCUGAUUGUGCUGUCCGUCGACUCUCUCUCCAUAAACCAAAUGAAGAAGGUGGCAAAGCAGUAAUGGGAAUAGAUAUAUCCCAGAUCAGAUCACUAACAAUCUUUGAGCAUACUGGCCAAGCUCUUGUGGAUUUUCGCAAGUGCAAGUUGCUGCGAGUGUUAGAUCUUGAAAACUGCAAGGAGCUUACUGAUUGCGACCUUGACAGCAUAUGCAAAUUACUGCAACUGAAGUAUCUGAGCCUUAGGGGUACUGAUGUCAGUAGGCUUCCGAAGGAAAUAGCGAAGCUGCUCCAUUUGGGAACACUGGACAUACGGGGUACAAGAGUGAACAUGUUGCCCAAAGAAGUUCUGAAUCUACCAGAGUUAACUCACUUGUUUGGAAAAUUUGAGCUGUCUUGUGAACUUGGCAGGGCUGCUACAAGGGGCAAUAGCCAGUCCUUAUUUUUGGGGGAUAGCAAAUUGCAAACUUUGGCUGGAUUUCUGAUAGGUGAGAGUCAGACUUUUCAAAAGAUUUUACUCGGUAUGAAGAAACUGAGGAAGGUUAAAAUACUGGCCGAGAGUACUCCAAAUAGUGUUAUAACUGAGCUUCUAGUCUAUUCACUCAAAAAGAAAUUCAUUGGCGCCAAUCCUCUUGAUUCUCUAUCAGUUGAUUUUGGUGAUCACUCCAUAGACUUCCUGGACUCCCUUGAUGCCUGCUGUGCUCUUACUUCGAUCAAACUGCACGGUAACCUAACGAGAUUGCCUACCUUUAUCACAUCGCUGCAUGGAUUAUUGAAGUUGCAUCUGGUAUCGACGGGCUUAGAUAGCGAGGUUCUAUCAACACUGCAAAAUUUACAUCUAUUGAUUUAUCUGAAGUUAGUUGAGGAUCGCCUUGAAUUUGGCAAUGGAAGCUUCAAUGUUGAAAAGGAGGGAUUCCAAAGCCUUCAACGACUCUGCAUCCAGGCACAAAAACUUCCACAAAUGAGUAUCGCGGAGGGAGCUAUGCAGCAUCUCUACUCUCUUCAGUUGAUUUGUGCAGACAUCAGUGGUGUUCAUGAAGACGAGAUUAAACAUCUCGAGGGCCUCAAGGAAAUAACCCUUGCUCCUACGGUUGGUGCAGGCACAAGGAGAUCAUGGGAAGCAGCAGUGAAGCAGCAUAGAAACAGGCCAGUGAUUAUGGAUUAAAACAGGCCGUUGAUGCCUAUAAAAUAUCAUGAUUUGGUAAUACUCCCUCCGGUCCUUUUUACUCUGCACAUUGGAUUUGCCAAAAAUCAAACUUAACUAAGUUUGACCAAAUUUAUAUUAGAAAUUAUUAGCAUCUAUAAUAUCUAAUAAAUAUAAUAUGAAAAUGUAUUCCGAGAUGAAUCUAAUGAUGUUGGUGUUGUUAUGUAAAUGUCAAUAAUUUUUUAUAUAAACUUGGUCAAAGUUGGAUGAGAUUGACUUCAGACAAACAUAAUAUGCAGAGUAAAAAGGACCGGAGGGAGUAUCACUGAAACAGUUGCAUUCUUAUCUUAUAUGUGUUUUAUGUGAACUUUCCUUUCCCUUUUCUUUCAUACUUAUCAUUUCACUAGUUCACUUGUUACAUCAUGAGCUCUGAAUAAAAUAAUGCAACAGGCCAGCAAAUACUUGUAUUAUGACCACUCUACUACCAUGCAAUUCCAUUGUUGGUGGUCACUGUUUUCGGGGAAGAACUAUUUAUAAAAUCGAG